GUAGGGUGCAAGCGUUAAUCGGAAUUACUGGGCGUAAAGCGUGCGCAGGCGGUUUGCUAAGACCGAUGUGAAAUCCCCGGGCUUAACCUGGGAACUGCAUUGGUGACUGGCAAGCUAGAGUGUGGCAGAGGGGGGUAGAAUUCCACGUGUAGCAGUGAAAUGCGUAGAGAUGUGGAGGAAUACCGAUGGCGAAGGCAGCCCCCUGGGCCAACACUGACGCUCAUGCACGAAAGCGUGGGGAGCAAACAGGAUUAGAUACCCUGGUAGUCCACGCCCUAAACGAUGUCAACUAGUUGUUGGGGAUUCAUUUCCUUAGUAACGAAGCUAACGCGUGAAGUUGACCGCCUGGGGAGUACGGUCGCAAGAUUA
rnacentral:rRNA from 1 species